rnacentral:rRNA from 1 species
AGUGAACGCUGGCGGUAGGCCUAACACAUGCAAGUCGAACGGCAGCACAGUAAGAGCUUGCUCUUACGGGUGGCGAGUGGCGGACGGGUGAGGAAUACAUCGGAAUCUACUUUUUCGUGGGGGAUAACGUAGGGAAACUUACGCUAAUACCGCAUACGACCUACGGGUGAAAGCAGGGGAUCUUCGGACCUUGCGCGAUUGAAUGAGCCGAUGUCGGAUUAGCUAGUUGGCGGGGUAAAGGCCCACCAAGGCGACGAUCCGUAGCUGGUCUGAGAGGAUGAGCAGCCACCCUGGAACUGAGACACGGUCCAGACUCCUACGGGAGGCAGCAGUGGGGAAUAUUGGACAAUGGGCGCAAGCCUGAUCCAGCCAUACCGCGUGGGUGAAGAAGGACUUCGGGUUGUAAAGCCCUUUUGUUGGGAAAGAAAAGCAGCAGGUUAAUACCCCGCUGUUCUGACGGUACCCAAAGAAUAAGCACCGGCUAACUUCGUG